rnacentral:rRNA from 1 species
UACAGAGGUCCCGAGCGUUGUUCGGAUUCACUGGGCGUAAAGGGUGCGUAGGUGGUUGGGUAAGUUUGAUGUGAAAGCUCAGGGCUUAACCCUGAAAUGGCAUUGAAUACUACUUAACUGGAGGUUUGGAGGGGGGACUGGAAUUCUUGGUGUAGCAGUGAAAUGCGUAGAUAUCGAAGAGACACCGUGGCGAAGGCGGGUC